AACGAACGCUGGCGGCAUGCCUAACACAUGCAAGUCGAACGAGACCUUCGGGUCUAGUGGCGCACGGGUGCGUAACGCGUGGGAACCUGCCCUUAGGUUCGGAAUAACUCCCCGAAAGGGGUGCUAAUACCGGAUAAUGUCUUCGGACCAAAGAUUUAUGGCCUUUGGAUGGUGCCGCGUUGGAUUAGCUAGUUGGUAGGGUAAAAGCCUACCCAGGCGACGGUCCAUAGCUGGUCUGGGAGGAUGAUCAGCCACACUGGGACUGAGACACGGCGCAGACUCCUACGGGAGGCAGCAGUGGGGAAUAUUGGACAGUGGGCGAAAGCCUGAUCCAGCAAUGCCGCGUGAGUGAUGAAGGCCUUAGGGUUGUAAAGCUCUUUUACCCGAGAUGAUAAUGACAGUACCGGGAGAAUAAGCUCCGGCUAACUACGUG
rnacentral:rRNA from 1 species